rnacentral:rRNA from 1 species
UACGUAGGGGGCAAGCGUUGUCCGGAUUCAUUGGGCGUAAAGAGCGUGUAGGCGGCUAGGUAGGUCGGUUGUGAAAACUGGAGGCUCAACCUUCAGACGUCGACCGAAACCAUCUGGCUAGAGUCCGGGAGAGGAGAGUGGAAUUCCUGGUGUAGCGGUGAAAUGCGCAGAUAUCAGGAAGAACACCCGUGGCGAAAGCGGCUCUCUGGAACGGUACUGACGCUGAGGCGCGAAAGCGUGGGGAGCGAACAGG